rnacentral:rRNA from 1 species
ACGCUCGACACCUACGGAGGCAGCAGUGGGGAAUAUUGCACAAUGGGGGAAACCCUGAUGCAGCGACGCCGCGUGAGUGAAGAAGUAUUUCGGUAUGUAAAGCUCUAUCAGCAGGGAAGAAGAUGACGGUACCUGAGUAAGAAGCCCCGGCUAACUACGUGCCAGCAGCAGCGGUAAUCUGAGCGGGCUGGCAAGGC